rnacentral:rRNA from 1 species
CGGUGCCUACCAUGCAAGUCGAGCGGCAGCACGGGUACUUGUACCUGGUGGCGAGCGGCGGACGGGUGAGUAAUGCCUAGGAAUCUGCCUGGUAGUGGGGGAUAACGCUCGGAAACGGACGCUAAUACCGCAUACGUCCUACGGGAGAAAGCAGGGGACCUUCGGGCCUUGCGCUAUCAGAUGAGCCUAGGUCGGAUUAGCUAGUUGGUGAGGUAAUGGCUCACCAAGGCGACGAUCCGUAACUGGUCUGAGAGGAUGAUCAGUCACACUGGAACUGAGACACGGUCCAGACUCCUACGGGAGGCAGCAGUGGGGAAUAUUGGACAAUGGGCGAAAGCCUGAUCCAGCCAUGCCGCGUGUGUGAAGAAGGUCUUCGGAUUGUAAAGCACUUUAAGUUGGGAGGAAGGGCAUUUACCUAAUACGUAAGUGUUUUGACGUUACCGACAGAAUAAGCACCGGCUAACUCUGUGCCAGCAGCCGCGGUAAUACAGAGGGUGCAAGCGUUAAUCGGAAUUACUGGGCGUAAAGCGCGCGUAGGUGGUUUGUUAAGUUGAAUGUGAAAUCCCCGGGCUCAACCUGGGAACUGCAUCCAAAACUGGCAAGCUAGAGUAUGGUAGAGGGUGGUGGAAUUUCCUGUGUAGCGGUGAAAUGCGUAGAUAUAGGAAGGAACACCAGUGGCGAAGGCGACCACCUGGACUGAUACUGACACUGAGGUGCGAAAGCGUGGGGAGCAAACAGGAUUAGAUACGCUGGUAGUCCACGCCGUAAACGAUGUCAACUAGCCGUUGGGAGCCUUGAGCUCUUAGUGGCGCAGCUAACGCAUUAAGUUGACCGCCUGGAGAGUACGGCCGCAAGGUUAAAACUCAAAUGAAUUGACGGGGGCCCGC